UACGGAGGGUGCAAGCGUUGUUCGGAAUUAUUGGGCGUAAAGCGCGCGCAGGCGGCCCGGGAAGUCUAUGGGUGAAAUGCCGGGGCUCAACCCCGCGCAUGCCCAGGAUACUCCCGGGCUGGAGACAUGUAGAGGCGAGCGGAAUUCCGGGUGUAGCGGUGGAAUGCGUAGAGAUCCGGAAGAACACCAGAGGCGAAGGCGGCUCGCUGGGCAUGAUCUGACGCUGAGGCGCGAAAGCGUGGGGAGCAAACAGG
rnacentral:rRNA from 1 species